UAUAUACAUGGUACAUUAUAGACAUGGUACAUCAUAGACAGGGUACAUCAUAGACAGGGUAUGCCAUAGACAGGGUACAUCAUAGAUAGUUAUUCUUAUCAUAUACAGGGUACAUUAUAGACAGGGUACAUCAUAGAUAGGGCACAUUAUAGACAGGGUACGCCAUAGACAGGGUACAUCAUAGAUAGUUAUUCUUAUCAUAGACAGGAUACAUUAUAGACAGGGUACAUCAUAGAUAGUUAUUAUUAUCAUAGACAGGGUACAUCAUAGAUAUAUAUUAUUAUUAUAGACAGGGUAAAUAAUAGA
ensembl:lncRNA